rnacentral:tRNA from 1 species
CGCCAGUUAGCCUAGUAGUAAGGCUUUGGAUCGCCAAUCCGGAAACGGCGGGUUCGAUUCCCGUUCUGUUCA